rfam:Caldibacillus debilis strain B4135 NODE_57, whole genome shotgun sequence.
GUUUCAAUCCCUCAAAGGUAAGAUACAAAC